UACGUAGGAGGCGAGCGUUGUCCGGAGUUACUGGGCGUAAAGGGUGCGCAGGCGGCGGUUCGCGUGGCGAGAUGAAAUCUCCUGGCUUACCUGGGAGGAUGGUCGCCAGACGGGAUCGCUUGAGGGUCGGAGAGGGGCGUGGAAUUCCGGGUGGAGCGGUGAAAUGCGUAGAGAUCGGGAGGAACACCAGUGGCGAAAGCGGCCGACUGGACCUGUCCUGACGCUGAGGCGCGAAAGCGUGGGGAGCGAACCGG
rnacentral:rRNA from 1 species